AUUCAGUAAGGAAAAAUUGCAUUUUGUGUUCAUCAGCCCCAGAUGUCCGCAGCAAAUGCCAGCAGAAAAUCCUGAGAAAGGACCAGGCCAACCAAAUACUGCAGCAGACAAGGAACACCCACUCUGCAAUGGUCUGAAAACCGUACUGACCAAUGUCAAACUUUAGAAGAAAUAAUGAUGAGGAAAUUAAAGGAAGGAAAUGAAAUGGACUACAAUGGUAUGUACAGUUUAUCUAGCCUUAGAGAAUAAAGAGAUAAAGGAUGAAAGGCUUGUUCCAGAAGCAAAGGGUGGGAGUUUCUUUAUC
rnacentral:lncRNA from 9 species